rnacentral:rRNA from 1 species
CCUACGGGAGGCAGCAGUGAGGAAUAUUGGUCAAUGGUCGUGCGACUGAACCAGCCAAGCCGCGUGAGGGAUGAAGGUACAGAGUAUCGUAAACCUCUUUUGUCAGGGAACAAAGGCGGGGACGUGUCCCCGGAUGAGUGUACCUGAAGAAAAAGCAUCGGCUAACUCCGUGCCAGCAGCCGCGGUAAUACGGAGGAUGCGAGCGUUAUCCGGAUUUAUUGGGUUUAAAGGGUGCGCAGGCGGUCUGUUAAGUCAGCGGUAAAAGCCCGGGGCUCAACCCCGGCCCGCCGUUGAAACUGGCAGUCUCGAGUUGGAGAGAAGUAUGCGGAAUGCGCGGUGUAGCGGUGAAAUGCAUAGAUAUCGCGCAGAACUCCGAUUGCGAAGGCAGCAUGCCGGCUCCACACUGACGCUGAGGCACGAAAGCGUGGGUAUCGAACAGGAUUAGAUACCCGAGUAGUC